GAGUAACGCGUAAGAACUUACCUGAAAGUGGGGGACAACCUCGAGAAAUCGGGGCUAAUACCGCAUACGCUCCGCAAGGAGGAAAGCUACGGCGCUUUAGGAUGGGCUUGCGUCCGAUUAGCUAGUUGGUGAGGUAAUGGCCCACCAAGGCUUAGAUCGGUAGCUGGUCUGAGAGGAUGAAUCGCCACACUGGAAUUGAGAUACGGUCCAGACUCCUACGGGAGGCAGCAGCAGGGAAUAUUGCGCAAUGGGUGAAAGCCUGACGCAGCAACGCCGCGUGGGGGAUGACGGCUUUCGAGUUGUAAACCCCUUUUCUUGGGGAAGAUAAUGACCGGUACCCAAGGAAUAAGUCUUGGCUAACUACGUGCCAGCAGCCGCGGUAAGACGUAGGAGGCGAGCGUUAUCCGGAUUUACUGGGCGUAAAGGGGCGGUAGGUGGUUCUCCAAGUCUUUGGUGAAAUCUCCUGGCUUAACUGGGAGGGUACCAGAGAAACUAGAGAACUUGAGGGCAGCAUAGGGAAGUGGAAUUCCCGGUGUAGUGGUGAUAUGCGUAGAUAUCGGGAGGAACACCAGUGGCGAAAGCGGCUCCCUGGGCUGUACCUGACACUGAGGCGCGAAAGCGUGGGGAGCAAACAGGAUUAGAUACCCUGUAGUCCACGCCGCAACGAUGGAUACUAGGUAUGGGGGGUAUCGACCCCCUCCGUGCCGAAGCUAACGCUUUAAGUAUCCCGCCUGGGGACUACGCCGCAAGGCUAAAACUCAAAGGAAUUGACGGGGGCCCGCACAAGCAGCGGAGCGUGUGGUUUAAUUCGAUGCUAAGCGAAGAACCUUACCAAGUCUUGACAUAUACAGGAAAGAUGAGGAAGCUUGUCUGCCCUUCGGGGCCUGUAUACAGAUGCUGCAUGGCUGUCGUCAGCUCGUGCCGUGAGGUGUUGGGUUAAGUCCCGCAACGAGCGCAACCCUCGUUGCCUAUUAUCUUCUCUGGCGAUACUGCCCCGCAAACGGGGAGGAAGGUGGGGAUGACGUCAAGUCAGCACGGCCUUUAUGCCUUGGGCUACACACACGCUACAAUGGGUGGUACAGCGGGUAGGCUAUGGAGCGAUCCGGAGCCAAUCCCAAAACCAUCCUCAGUUCAGAUUGCAGUAA
rnacentral:rRNA from 1 species